UUCCGGUUGAUCCUGCCGGAGGUCACUGCUAUCGGGGUUCGAUUAAGCCAUGCGAGUCGAGAGGGUUCAGACCCUCGGCGGACUGCUCAGUAACACGUGGAUAAUCUGCCCUAUGGUGGAGGAUAACCCCGGGAAACUGGGGAUAAUACUCCAUAAGUCAGGAGUACUGGAAUGUCUCCUAACUGAAAGUUUCGGCGCCAUAGGAUGAAUCUGCGGCCGAUUAGGUAGUUGUUGGGGUAACGGCCCAACAAGCCCGUAAUCGGUACGGGUUGUGGGAGCAAGAGCCCGGAGAUGGAAUCUGAGGCACGAUUCCAGGCCCUACGGGGCGCAGCAGGCGCGAAAACUUUACAAUGCAGGAAACUGUGAUAAGGGAACCCCGAGUGCCCGUACACGCGGGCUGUCCCGGUGUUUAAAACACAUCGGAAGAAAGGGCCGGGCAAGACCGGUGCCAGCCGCCGCGGUAAUACCGGCGGCUCGAGUGGUGACCACUUUUAUUGGGCUUAAAGCGUUCGUAGCUUGAUUUUUAAGUCUCUUGGGAAAUCUCACGGCUUAACUGUGAGGCGUCUAAGAGAUACUGGGAAUCUAGGGACCGGGAGAGGUAAGAGGUACUUCAGGGGUAGAAGUGAAAUUCUGUAAUCCUUGAGGGACCACCGAUGGCGAAGGCAUCUUACCAGAACGGCUUCGACAGUGAGGAACGAAAGCUGGGGGAGCGAACGGGAUUAGAUACCCCGGUAGUCCCAGCCGUAAACUAUGCGCGUUAGGUGUGCCUGUAACUACGAGUUACCGGGGUGCCGAAGUGAAAACGUGAAACGUGCCGCCUGGGAAGUACGGUCGCAAGGCUGAAACUUAAAGGAAUUGGCGGGGGAGCACCACAACGGGUGGAGCCUGCGGUUUAAUUGGAUUCAACGCCGGG
rnacentral:rRNA from 1 species